UAGGGAAUCUUCGGCAAUGGGGGGAACCCUGACCGAGCAACGCCGCGUGAGUGAAGAAGGUUUUCGGAUCGUAAAGCUCUGUUGUUAAGGAAGAACGAGUGUGAGAAUGGAAAGUUCAUACUGUGACGGUACUUAACCAGAAAGGGACGGCUAACUACGUGCCAGCAGCCGCGGUAAUACGUAGGUCCCGAGCGUUGUCCGGAUUUAUUGGGCGUAAAGCGAGCGCAGGCGGUCAAUUAAGUCUGAUGUGAAAGCCCCCGACUCAACCGGGGAGGGUCAUUGGAAACUGGUUGACUUGAGUGCAGAAGAGGAGAGUGGAAUUCCAUGUGUAGCGGUGAAAUGCGUAGAUAUAUGGAGGAACACCAGUGGCGAAGGCGACUCUCUGGUCUGUAACUGACGCUGAGGUUCGAAAGCGUGGGUAGCAAACAGG
rnacentral:rRNA from 1 species